rnacentral:misc_RNA from 1 species
GCCUUAGCACAAGUUCUUCUUUGUCUAGAUUCCCUGUUUGGUAUAGACUCAUCUUGUUUUUUGUCAAUUAUGUUUCGUUUUGUUGUAGAGGAAUCACUAGCAGUGGAAGAAGGUGAAAGUUUCUCUUGAUUCCCACUCAUGGAGUUUCUCAGGAAAGUUAACUGAGCCAUGGGGCUUACAGUACCAUGCCUGGCAUAUAAAGAACCUUGUAACACUAAUGGGGAGAAAGAUGAACCAUACGUUGAAGCCAUUAUUGUGUCAAUGCCUAUUCUUUCAAGUUUCUCAACUAAACGGAUACUGCUCCACUGGAUAAUAACCCUAAAGAAAGUCUACCUUCUGGAGUUGGUGUACUAGAUCGACUAUCUGGAGGACUAGCAUCAGGACUAUUACAAGGUGUUGCAGUGGGCGUAUAAUUCCUCUCUCCACUCGGCGUUAAUGAAGAAG